rnacentral:rRNA from 1 species
GAUGAACGCUGGCGGCGUGCUUAACACAUGCAAGUCGAACGGUGAAGCAGGAGCUUGCUCUUGUGGAUCAGUGGCGAACGGGUGAGUAACACGUGAGCAACCUGCCCCUGACUCUGGGAUAAGCGCUGGAAACGGCGUCUAAUACUGGAUAUGUGAUGUGACCGCAUGGUCUGCAUCUGAAAAGAAUUUCGGUUGGGGAUGGGCUCGCGGCCUAUCAGCUUGUUGGUGAGGUAAUGGCUCACCAAGGCGUCGACGGGUAGCCGGCCUGAGAGGGUGACCGGCCACACUGGGACUGAGACACGGCCCAGACUCCUACGGGAGGCAGCAGUGGAGAAUAUUGCACAAUGGGCGGAAGCCUGAUGCAGCAACGCCGCGUGAGGGAUGACGGCCUUCGGGUUGUAAACCUCUUUUAGCAGGGAAGAAAAAAAUGACGGUACCUGCAGAAUAAGGGCCUGCAAAUCUCGUGCCAGCAGCCGCAGUAA